rnacentral:lncRNA from 1 species
AAUGGCCUGCCCUCCCCCGCCCCUCCGUUCCCAUCUCAGAGAGCCCUGGGCCUGUCGCCUCUCUGGCAAGCUGUUUACAAGCAGAAUGUAAUGUGGGCACCAGUAUAUAUUUCUGAACAAUGUGUGAAAAGAGAAGAGCAGAAAGUGAAGUUCGAGAGUAGAUGUGCAGUGAGUAAUGACCAUCUGCUACCGGCCCCAGCCCAGAUGAUACAGUUAGAAUCUACCCACAGCAUCCUCUCCCGCCUUCAGACAGUUCCAGGAACAAGGCACCUACAGGCUCUCCCUGUGAGUGGAGGAUAUUGAACGUGGUGCCCAGCAUGGAGACUGAAGUCAGACCUUGAAUUAGGGCUCUGUCCUUCAUAAGCUCACGACCCAGGGCAAGGUGGGCUAAUUCCUCGAGCCUCAGUUUACCCAUC